rnacentral:lncRNA from 13 species
AAAAAUCAUACCCACAUGUCUUCCUAAUCAUCGAGUCUAUGCUUCUCCCCAUCAACCUAGGCUGAGUGUUGUUACUGCUUUGAUCAAUGGAAUUUAGCAAACUGUUGGUCUCUCUCUCUCUCUCUCUCUCUCUCUCUCUCUCUGUCUCUCCCAGUAUACCUCCCUCAUGCCUUGAGACCUCUGAAGCAAUAUGUCAGAAUUUCAGCUAUUCUAAAACCACUAUGUUGCUCAGAUGCCCAGGAGAAAUCAUAUAGAAAUUGAGACAUCUGAGAAGCCCAAAGUGUUUCACAGUCCAGCUGUUCCGGUCAUGUCAACCCAGUCAUACUCUCUUCGGCCUCCUUGUGAAGCGAUGCCUUCCAUCAUCAUUGUAAGUUUCCUGAGGCCUGCCCAGCCAUGCACAACUGUGAGUCAAUUAAACCUUUUUCUUUAUAAGUUAUCCAGUCUUGGGCAGUUAUUUAUAGCUGCAUGAAAAUGGACUAAUAUAAAUGGUUAUAGGUGCAUGAUUUUAUCUCUGGGCUCUCCAUUUGAUUGCUUUGGUCUAUGUGUCUAUUUUUGUACUGACACUAUGCCAUUUUGUUUACUGUAGCCCUUUGGUAUAGUUUGAAGUCAGGUAAUGUGGUGCUUCCAGCUUUGUUCUUUUUGCUGAGGAUUGCUUUGGCUAUCCAGGCUCUUUUAUGGUUGUAUAUAAAUUUUAGAAUAGUUUUUCUAAUUCUGUGAAAAAUGUCAUUAAUAGUUCAACAAGAAUAGCAUUGAAUCUGUAAAUUUCUUUGGACAUUAUGGUCGUUUUAACAAUAUUGAUUCUUCCUAUUUGAUCAGUUGUUUUAAUUGCUUUUUUUCAGCUUUCACAUAUACUUCCAUGUCAGUUCGAACUUUCCUGUUAAACUUCUUUUCACUCUUAUUCUUUCUGGUCUAUUGAAUCUGGUAUUUCCAUUUGUUUGUUGUCUUUCUUUCAUGAUUUUUGGGCUCCUUAGAUGUACUUGCAGUCGUUUCUUUUUUUCCUCUGUGGUUGUAUAUAUUCUGGGGUAUUGCUAUUUAGUUUGGUAAUAAGUAGUUGCAGAAAUGUUAGAUAGCACAGGAUCUAACUUGAGGUCCUCUUGGUGAAUUUAGAAAUAAAAAUACAUUCUCUUCUGGACUAUUUUUUAUA